rnacentral:rRNA from 1 species
GAUGAACGCUGGCGGCGUGCCUAAUACAUGCAAGUCGAGCGAACAGACGAGGAGCUUGCUCCUUCGACGUUAGCGGCGGACGGGUGAGUAACACGUAGGUAACCUACCUAUAAGACUGGGAUAACUUCGGGAAACCGAAGCUAAUCCCGGAUAAUAUUUCGAACCGCAUGGUUCGAUAGUGAAAGAUGGCUUUGCUAUCACUUAUAGAUGGACCUGCGCCGUAUUAGCUAGUUGGUAAGGUAACGGCUUACCAAGGCAACGAUACGUAGCCGACCUGAGAGGGUGAUCGGCCACACUGGAACUGAGACACGGUCCAGACUCCUACGGGAGGCAGCAGUAGGGAAUCUUCCGCAAUGGGCGAAAGCCUGACGGAGCAACGCCGCGUGAGUGAUGAAGGUCUUCGGAUCGUAAAACUCUGUUAUUAGGGAAGAACAAACGUGUAAGUAACUGUGCACGUCUUGACGGUACCUAAUCAGAAAGCCACGGCUAACUACGUG